AUUGCCUCAGUAACGGCGAGUGAAGCGGCAACAGCUCAAAUUUGAAAUCUGGCCUUUGGUCCGAAUUGUAGUUUGUAGAGGAUGCUUUGAACAUGGCUCUGGUCUAAGUUCCUUGGAACAGGACGUCAUAGAGGGUGAGAAUCCCGUAUGUGACUGGGUGCCUAAGUUCAUGUAAAGCUCCUUCAACGAGUCGAGUUGUUUGGGAAUGCAGCUCAAAAUGGGUGGUAAAUUUCAUCUAAAGCUAAAUAUUGGCCAGAGACCGAUAGCGCACAAGUAGAGUGAUCGAAAGAUGAAAAGCACUUUGGAAAGAGAGUUAAAUAGUACGUGAAAUUGUUGAAAGGGGAGCGCUUGCAAUCAGACUUGCAUGCAGUUGAUCAUCCGAUGUUCUCACCGGUGCACUCAUCUGCAUUCAGGCCAGCAUCGGUUUUGGUGGUUGGAUAAAGGCCCUGGGAAUGUAGCUUCUUUCGAGGAGUGUUAUAGCCCGAGGUGCAAUGCAGCCUACCAGGACCGAGGACCGCGCUUCGGCUAGGAUGCUGGCGUAAUGGUUGUAAGCGACCCGUCUUGAAACACGGACCAAGGAGUCUAACAUCUAUGCAAGUGUUUGGGUGUAAAACCCAUAUGCGUAAUGAAAGUGAACGGAGGUGAGAACCCUUAANGGUGCAUCAUCGACCGAUCCUGAUGUCUUC
rnacentral:rRNA from 1 species